CAGGAUUAGUCGUGGAGUCCUACUAGAAAAGUCCCAGAUCCCUGUUGGCUGGACAGCCUGUUAAAAUAUUGUUUUGCUUUCUUGCAGUUUGCAAGCCUGUGGCCCCUGAGAGACAUUUUUAGGUAUGUUGCUUCUUGGCCGGCAUGUUUCAGACCACGACGGCCCAGCCACGGCCGGCGCCUUGACCAAGAGGCUCUUGAGUGUGUGAAGAAGCACCUUUACAGAGGUCGACCAGAGACCACCUCACCAUGCGGACAGACCUAGGCACAGCUCAGGCGGGAGCUGGGGCUGUGGGCUUGGCCUGGGGGUGUUUGUGCACAUGGGGAACAGCGGGCAACCCAGAAGGUAGCAAAGGAAGGCCGUAGGAAGCCAGCCCCUGAGAGCCUUGGGGAGGAUAGUCCAGCGCAUUUAACGCGGUGCCCUGAAAUGCGGACCACAUGGUCACUCCGGUUGCUCCAAGCCAGGCUCCAAACACAGGAGCUGACUCCUCCAUCCGCCAGUAGCUCUCGUCUUUGUUUACUUUGGUCUUUACCCCGUUAUGGGAACCAGAAGGAGGAAUUGGUAGGUGGCUGUGCGGCUUGCAGGAUCUCUGACCAUUUGGGGGGGAUUGUUAUUUGAUUUGAACUCUAUGGUAUCCCGGUUGUGGGUGUACACAUUUUAUUGAGUUUGAUGGGAAAAUAUUGGCUUUAAUCAACUAAUAUUAAUGAAUACCCACCUCACUGUCUGUUUUUAUUGCAGUAUGCUAUGUGCUUACUUCUAACUUUUUAGGCUGGAUUUAAAGAUCACAAAGUAAUGAGGCCAAAAUUCUACAGUUUUUGUGUCAUUUAUUUUAUUUUUCACUAAAUAAAACUCUCCUAAGUCUUGUUAUUUUAUUUGUUUUCCCUUCCAGCCUCUAUUAUUCUGUAACAUUCCUUUACAUUGUCUUGAAAUUCUCUUCAGACACUGCUCUGGUGGUGUUACCACUCGGCUGUCGUAGGGAACCGGACGGCUUACGCAGCGGAUGGACGUGCGAAUGGACGCUGAGGGUCUAUGUGAAGGAAGACUACUACUUCGGGCAGGAAUGCAGCCUUCUGUAUCUCCCCACAGCUUCUAAGAGUGUUCUGCAGCUCAAAGUUCCCUGAUAAACAGGGUGACUCAAGCAUUUUAAUGAACCAGAGUACAGAUCAAGGCUGUGCAAGCAAAGGAGAUUGCUGUCUAAAUUUCUUGGUGUUGUGUUUUCAUUUGCUUUCCUGAAUUAAAAUGGAUUUGGAGCCUAUGAACACCUGACGCUACGUGAGCCUUCUGGGUAAGAGAUGCAGGUUUGCAUUUCUGAGUUCCGUGUCAUUUUGGAAUGUCUUACUCACAGUGUCAAAGAUUUAUGUUAAAAUGUAGGAAUUCCAAUAAAGCCUCUUGUUAAAAAUAAGCAAACAACAAAACUUCUCACCGAACAUAAAACCACUUUCUAUGCUGCUCCCCAGACUAAGGCCAAACUCUAUUUUUUUACUCAGUUGUCCCAUAGGGAGUUUGCUGUGGCUCAUUCAUUGAGUCUCUGCAGCUUGUGAUUUCUCCUCAAAAUGCCUUUCUACUGGGCUUUUCAAGACCCUCACAGGGCAGCCCUGAUGAUGAAUGCUAGAGGUGCUCCCUCAGUCAGGGGAAACUGAGGUCCAUGGUUUUCCUCCUGUAGGGCAGUAAGGGUCUAGGGGCUCAGCAGCAGGCCAGACCCCAACCCAGAUCCCUCACAGAUGCCUUUUCCUGUGUCCUCUCUCGCGUACUGUGGGGUCAGGGCCAAUCCCACCACUUUACUCAUGAGAGAAUGGAGGGCCCAGGUGCUUAGGGGGAGAGCUGGAGGCAGGACGCUGGCCUCCCGCCUCUGGGGCUGGUGGCUUUUGUUGUUGUCCUUCUGUGGGCUCUGGGCCUGCCCCUGAUAGCGCCUUCACCCAGAGUGGAGGCAGCCGCGACAACCAGGCAGGGCUGGGGCCAUGACUCCAGCCAGUUAAUCUUUCAUGAGAGGUCUGGACAGACUCUUCUGGCCUCCUGGGAGCUCCUGGGCAGCUCAGAGCCUUCAGUUACAGAACCAGCUUGAACAAUUACAGAGUUGAAUGCAGGGAGGCUGAUCUGGGUACUGUUCUAACUUCUGUUUUGAGUUGUGUUCAAGGAAUAAGCACAGAGAGGAUUAUCACAUGGCGGGAGAGAUGAGCAGACGGAAAAGCCAGUUUUAGCUCCAGAGCUCGAUGUCUGGGGUUCACAGGAGGGGCAUCACGUGGGUACCCUCCAUUUAUCUACUCACAGCUAGCCGGUCGGUCGUUCCUUUAGCAAACUGCCGAGCUGUAGUGAUUACAUCACACAGUGCAAAGGCCUUUGGCCGUUAUUGCGCUCCGCCUGGCCGACGGCCAGAGGCUCUGCGAGGGCCACGUGGACACGUUCCAGAAACAACUAGAGGAUGUAGCUGCUCGCUGGGUGCUUUCAGCUUUUGUUGUUUCUUUUCCCCUUCGUUUCUUACCUGUACCUAUGAAUCAGUCCUCUGUUUACUGUGAGUUGGAACCAAAAUGACCUCAGAGGUCGAUAACUCAUGCUGUUGGCCCCCACGAACAGUACCGAGUGACCCUUACGCAAGGCGUUUCCACCAUCUGAGGAAAGAGAUGGUCUGAGUUACUCUUCAGUUAAAAACACUCCAUGUGGUUUUGUUUGGCAAUUUAAAAAUAGGUGUGUCCUGUGGGCUCAGUUUUCUAGAAUCCCAGGUAGGAAGAAAACCAGUUGUUUUCAUUCAAGGGUUUAUAAAAGAUCCCCUGAGGGGUAACUAAGCUCUAACUGGACAAGAAUGCUGACAUGGCCCCCAUCACCUCCCACAAGCAGCCACACUCAAGGAGGGUCCCAGGCCUGGGUUCUGCACCCUGGGGGCCGACCUCUCAUUGCUUAUUUGCUCCCAUUGUCUUACUUGUUUUAAUCCAGUCACACUGCUGUGGUCUGAAUGUUUGUGUCACUUUCAAAUUCAUAUGUUGGAAUCCUAACCCCCUAAAGGCAAAGGUAUUUGGAGAUGGGGCCUUUGGGAGGUGCUUAAAUCAUGAGGGUGGGAUUAGUGUUUUAUAAAAGAAACCCCAUAGAGCUCCCUUGCCCUCCCACCAUGUGAAGACAGUGAGAAGCUACUGUCCAUGAGCCAGGUAGAGGGCCCUCACCCAACCACACUGGUGCCUUGAUCUUGGAUUUCCCAGCCUCCAGAAUGACGAGGAAUAAAUUUCUGUUGUUUAUAAGCUACCCAGUGUGUGGGACUUUGGUAUAGCAGCGCGAAUGGACUAAGACACACACUUACAGGGGCCACACAAACAGACCUUUCCAAGGAAAGAAGGACCUUGCAGAAGAGGUGGUCUCAGCCUGUAUCUGACUUUCUUCUGGGACUCAGGGCUGGACACCGCUAAAAGCUCCGUCAUUGGCCCGGGCAGUGCAUGAGGCAGGCGGGCUCCCGUGCGUGUUGUUGUGGUCUCCCAGGCCUCACCCCCCACCCUCCCUGUAGGGCUGGGGUUCUGUAUGUGUGCCCUCGUUUGUUCUUCCCUCUCAACACCCAGGUCAGGUAGACGAUAUUCUCAGCCCCAGUUCGCCAAUGAGGAAACUGAGCCUCAGGCAGGUUAAGUCACUUGAUCAAGAUUAUGAUUCUGCAAAACGGCCAAUCUGAGACUUAGAUCUUCUUGCUCCAAAGUGUGUUGCCUCCCACAGAGGCCCACCCCAUCUGCUGUUUAUUUUUUUAAGUGGUCAGGAACUUAGCGAAGCUGCUGGGGCAGUGGGGCUGUGGAAGUCAGCCUGCUCUUUACCGAGGGCUCAUGGGGCAAGAGGAGGGCGGCUGAGCCCACCCUGUUUGGAGAAACUAGCUCAGCAGAGAGCAGUCUCAUGCCUGCAGUCAGCGGGGCCCGUAGGAGGUGGCCUCUGACCACCACAGAGGGACGCAGGACGAGGGAAAGAGGACAAGGGAGAAAGGGCAUCUUAACCGAGAGAUUUGUCAAGUGUUCCACGACUGGAGGCGGGGGGAAAAUCAUAGAUGAUAAAUACCAAUCCAAAACCCUCAUGGGCUGCUUUUGAAGAGGCCCCUGACCUCUUACUUUGUGCAGAUAUAGAGGCUUAGAUACUCGAACACACACACACACACACACACGCACACCAUUUUGUUUUGUUUUGCUGCGUUCUCUUUUUGCUGCCAACAGGAAUUUAUUCUUCUAUUAAAUAAGGCUAUAUAUAGCAUGGUAAAUUGUCUAUCUACAGCUCACUAAGAUGCUAAUUUUUACAUUGUUUUUCUUAUACCAAUACUGGGAAGAGUCUGAAAAUUUCUCUCAAAAGGAAAACCUUUUAAAGCUUUUAAAAACAAUUUUAAGUUCAACCUGAACUUCAUAAUCCUUAUCACAAUUGGAGUGAAUUAGUCAUGUAAUUAUUUGUUUGAUGUCUGCAUCUUCCAUAGACUUCAUAAAGCUUCAGAAAGACCAGAACCAAGCCUGUCACUUCUUCAUUUAACAGAUACUUAACGAGAGCCCAUGUAUGUCAGAUACUUGCAUCGUGGAGAGGCAAGGGUGAAUGAAACACCAGGGAUUCUGCAAUGAACCUUCUCAAUUAAUUCGGGGUCCCCAGCACCUGGGAAUCCCUGGCAUACAGCAGUCACUUAAUGAAUACUCACUGGAUAAGAGACAAACGUGCUUCUGGUGUAUUCUUCCCACCCCACAUCUUCCCUUAAUAAGAGAUUCGGGUCCUCACUCUGUCCUCCUGGGUGAGCCCCCACUAGCCAGCACCCCCUGCACUGCCCUCUGGGCACAUAGGUCUGUGCCUGUAGGCUGGGGUCAGGAUCACCCUGCUUGCCCUCAGCACGGGCAGAGGACAGACAGGGAAAAGGGACCCGGCUGUCCCCGAAGAUGAGGGGAGGAGUGAAGACUGGAGAGGGUUGACCCACUUUUCCUGUCUGUGAAGUUCCCAACUGGGCCCUAGGGCUUUGUGGGGAGGGGAGGGGCGGGAGG